rnacentral:rRNA from 1 species
CAGUAGCCGCGGUAAUACCGAGGGUGCGAGCGUUAAUCGGAUUUACUGGGCGUAAAGCGUGCGUAGGCGGCUUUUUAAGUCGGAUGUGAAAUCCCCGAGCUUAACUUGGGAAUUGCAUUCGAUACUGGGAAGCUAGAGUAUGGGAGAGGAUGGUAGAAUUCCAGGUGUAGCGGUGAAAUGCGUAGAGAUCUGGAGGAAUACCGAUGGCGAAGGCAGCCAUCUGGCCUAAUACUGACGCUGAGGUACGAAAGCAUGGGGAGCAAACAGGAUUAGAUACCCCUGUAGUCCCUGUCUCUUAUAC